GCGGGGGCGCUACUUUCUGACUUUUGGACUAGCGCGGGCGCGCUAAGAGUUAGCGCGGGGGCGCUACUUUCUGCCACUGGCAGCCUGUUUCUUCGUUUUCAGCUCCUUCUCGCGUGCAUGCCCUUCCUCGCUCUAGUACCACUUCCGUAGGUGAUCACGGUUGCAUUUAGCACAUGCAACAAGCCCUUUAAACCCCUAGAUAGCUCUAGUGGACGAGUGUGUUCUCGUGAGGGUUUGUAGAAGAUGUACCCACAAAAUCCCAAGUCGUGAUGAAUCCACAAUUCUCCUAUUAGAAAGGCAUAUCUACUCCUCAGUUCCCCCAAACUUAAGAUUUACAGACCUAAGCUGAAGGGUGCUCAAUUCAAUCCUAGAAUUCAUGGAAUUUCGUCUAAAUCCUAUCUCAAGAACAUAUGUGAAUUACAAUUUCCAACACAAGCAAUUUCCAAGUACUAACCUAGCAUUGCAAUUGAAACUACUAAUCAAGAACUACGCACAUAACUCAUCAUAGGCAAUUAACUUGGCUUAACUUCAUAAUUCAUGCAAAUGCUCGUGAUACUAACUACGACAAUUACCACUAAACAUGUAAAAUAAUAAAAAAAUAUGAGAAAACUAGAAAGAAAACGUGAGAAAUAAUCAAAGCAAAAUAAAAUAAACGUGAACUACAUGAACUAACUAACACAUGCAAUAAAAUAUAAUAUAUGCUCUUCCUUAGAUUACCACCCCCAAACUUAAAAUUUUCAAUGUCCCCAUUGAAAGUGAUAAAAAGGCUAGAGCACCCACAUACCUACUCGGAGUCCGAGUCCUCCCCCUCCUCUGCUGGAGGUGAAUCAGGUGGAGGAUACUGCAUCCCUGCUCCGAAUACUGGCCACUGAACUGUGACCCCCUGUGCCUGGAAAGCACUACCUAGAGCCUGUGUCAAGUCAAAAGCAAACCUCUGGUGGAUGUCAUGCAUGGUGUCCAUCCGUCUCGCUAGUCGGCGAUAAUGAACAUCUCCCAUCGGUUCGGAGCUCCUCUCCGUCUGAGAAGUACCAGCUCCAGAAGCUCUAGUCUGCUCCCUCCUAACAAAUGCUGGACGUCCCCCUGGCAUCUCAUCAUAUAUGUACCCGAGGCCUCGAGGGUGGGGAACUCCUCCAUCCCACUCCGUCAUCCGACUGAUCGCCGAAUGAUCAAUAGGUGUUGCUGGCAACUGUAAUUGCUCGUUGGCUGGCCAACGAACACCGCUUGAUCGACAGAGCUUCGUAACAAUUGUGCCAUAUGGAAUGGCACCAGUGGUUCCUCCCUGUAAGAACCUCAGAAUCCCCUGAUGAAUAACAUGUCCCAGAUCAAUAUACUUGCCCGAGACAAUCCCAAAGAGCAGAAUAGCUCUAUCCACUGUCACCUCAUGCCCAUGUGAAGAUGGCAUGAUGUUAGCACAGAUGAAGGCGUUCCACGCCUUCGCAUACCGGUUCAACGCGGCUGCUGGAAACGAAACAUGUGCCGGCAAAGGAGGUGCAGUCAUCUUCCAAGUCGUGUCCGGCACACACAUAUCAUACACCAACCGCUCAAGAUCAACCGGAUCAUCAUCAAACCGGCGUUUGGCACGCCCGAUCCUCUCAACAACCCAAUCUUCUUCAUUACGGCGCUUGGCACGCCCCCCAAUCACUCUACGGAUCGCCUCCGCACUAUAAUCCACACGGAUUCCCCGCACCACCGUGAAUCCAUCGCGAUUCUCCUUGGCAUUAGCAUAAAACUCUCGAAUAAUAGCCAAGGGAACCGCCUCCGGAGCCUCGCAAAAAGACUCCCAACCCCGUUCUUGAAUCAUGUUCAAGAGCUCACCAUCUUCCGCCGUGGGUAAGAAUCCCCUCUCCUUAACUAUCGACUUAUUCAUAAGCCGUUGAAACUCGGUUCGUGCACCAUCGGAGGUGAACUCAACCUCACCCAUCGAGGAAGAAUCGCUAGAUGUAGGGGCUUGGGUGCUUGGUCCUUGUGAUCUUCGGGCUCUUUUGGGUGCCAUUGAUAGAGAUUUAGAGUUGCAAGAGAUUUGUGUGUAGUGGGUUUGAGAGAUUUGGAGGUAGUUGUGUGGAUGGAUGUGUAUAUAUAAUUAGGGUUUAUAGAAUUAUAAUGGGAAUUGGAGAUGGGUUUUGUGUUUAUAUAAGGAUUGGAGAGCUGAGUUAGGGUUUUAUAGGAUGUAUUUCGGGCUAGGCAUGCAAAAUUAGGAUUGUGGGCUUUUAAAAACGAAAAGAAAAUAUUUUUGGGAGAAAAAUCGCUUUUCUGGGCAGUCAGUAGCGCGGCCGCGCUAAGUGUAGCGCGGGCGCGCUGUGCAACUUAGCGCGGGCGCGCUGGACACUAGCGCGGGCGCGCUAGUGUCUGACACCGGGGGCUGAUUUUUUUCGAUUUUUGUGUUUUUGAGGUUUACAAUGGUACAAUGUGGUUCCAAUGCGUGGGUUGCCUCCCACGAAGCGCUUGUUUAACGUCGUUAGCUCGACGUGAAGUCCAGAAUUAAUCCGAUUCCGAUGAAGUAUCCUGUGGAGGAUACCUCGUUCCAUAACCAAACGAAUCCCAAGUAACAUUAACAUCUAGUGCCAAGAAUGCUUCAGCAAGAGAGUCCGUUAAUAUAUCAGCAAAGCGACCAAUUCGUUCUUCCACCGCGUCAAUACGCCUGAUUAUCCUUCGGUACUGUGCUUCAUUCAAUGUUGAAUCAGCAGGUGAUUGAAUUACAGAUUGGUUACUCGCACUGGUAGAGAGUAGAGGACAAGUGUCUCCACAUGCAUUAGAAUUUGAGUCUGAGUGAGCUCUAAUUCUGUGCCAAUUAGUCAUCUGAAUUUCCUGAGUGACUUCGACCGCUUCAUCAUUCUCUGAUUCUUCCUCUUUUGGAAUUUUCCACUUUAGGUCUCUGUGCUCAGCAGCAGCCAGGUUCUCUAUCAGUUCGUAAGCAUCAUCGAAGCUUUUGCUCCACAAGUUUCCUCCAGCUGCCACGUCUAACUCUGCUCUACAUUGAUCAUUAAGACCCCUGUAGAAAUAAUGAAUUGCCAUUCCAGGAGGCAUGCCAUCUUCAUUGAGAUUUUCGAGAAUCUUCUUGAAUCGGUCCCAAGCUAAACAAAGAUAUUCUCCCGAGAAUUGAGAGAAUUUACUUUCGGUGUUUCUGAUAGCUGAUACUUUAAUUAGAGGAUAAAACCUGGUACAGAAUAUUUUCUCCAACUGGUUCCAGCUAUUAGUAGUGCUUGCCGAGAGAGAUAGAAACCACGAUCGUGCUACAUCACGUAGCGUGAAUGGAAAGAGUCUCAGCUUCACCAGAUCCUUAGGUCCGAUAUUGAAAUCCAAUGCAGUAAUGAAUUUCUCGAAAUUCCUUAGAUGCAGGUUUGGGUCCUCAAGAACAGACCCCCCAAAUUGAAUAGUAUCCUGCAGCUUGAGAAUGAUUGAUGGCUUAAUUCGAAUACCACUGGCUGAUAUCGCUGGCUCAAUUGUGUCAGCCUGAUUAUCAUUGAUUUUCAAACGAGAAAAUUCACGUGACGCCUCACCAACUGCUGUCCUUGCAUAAUCCAUUGUUUCAGAAUCAGAAGAAGAAGAUGAAUCAAUUGCUUCCUUACGAGCUUUAGAACGUGUUAGCAUAAACGCGACCCAAGUACCUGAAAUAAAGAAAAGAAGAAAAGUGAGAAGAGAAUAGAAUCCUAGUCAGUGAAUUUUAAUGCACACUGAUGACAAGUACAUAAACUAAUUAAUUAACACCGAGUCCCCGGCAGCGGCGCCAAAAACUUGUUCGCAAAAAUCUACACGCAAGCGCACGUGAUCACAAGUAAUAUAUUAAGUUCGAUCCCACAGAGACUGGUGAAUUAAGAAUACGCACCUAUGCAACAAUGUAUGAUCAAUUUUCACUGCCAAGACAAUUAACAAGGAUGGUUUCUUUUAUACUAAUAACUAAAAUUACUAAUCAAAUUCAGAAUAGGAAAACACAUGGGAUUCUAACUUCAUUAUCGAAUUCAUCUAGAAUUGAAAUUACUGAUUAACAUGCGACUGUUGAUCCUAAUCAGACAACACGAAAGUAAUACAUGCCAACUCUCGUUGCACACAUAUCAUACCAAUCAAAAUCCACAAUUAAGACAGAAAUCUCAUGGACACCAACAAAGCUCAGACCCUAUAUCUCUAUAGCGGUAGUGUAAGCAGAGAGGUUUAAUAACAAGUCGUCUAUCGUGAUUACACAGGGUGAUAAAAAUAGUUCAAGUCUACCACAAAUUAUGUUUCAUUCACAUAAUCCUAUGUUUACAUGGCAUAGUUCUAAAUUCAAUCAUCCACUCUCGCUUCAGAAAGAAUUAACAAACAACUUAGAAGUUAGCUACGCUCCUAAGAAGAAUAAGCACGGCUCAUGCAAAGAAAUCAACGUACGUCACAAAAUCAAGUAAUUAAUAUUCGUUACUAGACUACAUCGAUAAAUCCAUUAGAAUCCCAUGAAGGCGGUUAGUUCAUAAUCGAACUAAUCGACAUCAUGGGUUCUAAUGAAAACAUGAUAAAUAAAAGACGAGAAUUAAACGGAAUAAAAAUGCUUGAAUUAAUAAUAAAGAUCACACGUUACAGAUUUGAUGUUCACGAUCUCGCUCGAAACUGUCACUUCCUCGCGAAGAACGAUCUAAUACAAACUGAUAAUGUGCUUGAAUGAUUAAACUGAAACUACGAUAUUGUUCUCUACUAAAAACUACUUCUACGAGGCUAGGGUUUUACACACGAGAAAUUAAAUUACAUUGACCAAGUCAACCGGGCCUCGACCGCUGCGAAAAUCCGUCAGAAAAGCUGCAAAAAUCGGCCCGGGGCACUUCUGCUGGGCGCGGCCGCGCUAAACUAGCGCAGGCGCGCUAGUGACAGCAGAAGGUAGCGCGGGCGCGCUAACAAGUAGCGCGGGCGCGCUACUGUCUGUCAUGGCAGCUCUGUUGCUUCGUGUUCAGCUCGUUCUCGCGUGCAUGUCCUUCCUCGCUCCUAGUACCACUUCCGUAGGUGAUCACGGUUGCAUUUAGCAUAUGCAACAAGCCCUUUAAACCCCUAGAUAGCUCUAGUGGACGAGUGCGUUCUCGUGAGGGUUUGUAGAAGAUAUAC
rnacentral:lncRNA from 1 species